AUCCGGCGUCUGCAACCGGUUGGUAACCGCAGGGUAUACCACAAACCUGGAAGUCGCCAAGAGAGCCUAAGUUGGCAGUUCUGGGAGUGAGAUAAUCCUUAUUAAUAUAUAGAGAGUAAGUGUCAUAAUCCACUAACCUAUAGGAUAAGGGUACCCAUACAUUUCUUAGGGUACAGAAAUAAGAUUUGGGUAUAGAUCCUAUAAAAUAUCUUGUAAGGAAGAGAGCUUUAGCUCUUUCUUUUCUUUGUUCUAUAUUCUAUAGACUAUCUUCUAUCAUGCUAUCAGCUCAGCUUGUGUAGCAUAGUAGAACUACUCAACAUUCCUAACUAUUGGGGAAGCCAGCACCAUCGUGUUAUCGGGCAUGCAAGGAGUAAGGCUGGUCCUUCACCUCCUAUUAUCGGGUCCUCAAGGAAGGGUGCAAUCUUAAACCCCAAUGAUUAGAUGCAGGGAGACAAAUCUCUUGACUGGUCUCCCGCCAUCCUGAAACCAGUCAACACUUUGACAUUGCUGCCAAGGUUUGUCAGGGGAUCAUGCUGCACAGAACAGCUAUUCCCACACCAGGCUCUUUCACUCCAGUUCGCAACCUGAAACCCCAAGUGUCCAAAGCACGUGGCAUUCACAUGGAGAAGCUUCUGCAGAGUGGAAGACUGCUGUUAUGAUGAACUGUAGAAUCAACUCCCUUCCAGCAAAUUUUUGGCUCAUUGCAGCAGGUGUAUGCUACUUUCAUGUCUUCCAUACCUACAGGUAGAAGCCAAUUAGACCCUUAAUUUCUACACUGAUUAGCUUGUUACCUGCAAAAAUAAAACUUGAAUAAGUACAUAUUUAUCUUUAUAGUUGCCAAGGGAAUAAUGAAGAAUAUUUUAAGCCUCUCCAAGAGUUAAGCUCUGUAUCCUACAAUUGGUUUUCUCCUUUAGGUUAUUGGUUCAAAUUCAAUUCAGGUUGACAGUGAGUCACAGUUGUUGAUGGCCUAGAUGAAAUGACUUGGUUUUCUCAGUAUAGUUCUAGUGGACAGAUGCUGAUAACACAAAAGCCAGCAUAACAAAUGGCACUAACUGGUAUCUGUCUUGGCAGUCUAAACAGAGGGAAUUGCAUGAGAAUGGAGACUGAACCCACUGCCCCUGCAGGUUUGCUCCUCCAGGUCAGAUUUAAGGCAUGGUUGGUGGUGGGUAGAAGCUUGCUCUGCAACUGGUCAUGCUAUGCCUAUUCCUUGUGGAUUUCAUUCCCUAGGGCUAUCAAAUCUAAAAACACCUUACUGGAAAAACAACAUGAAAAUCACCAGUGACAUCAACCAAUGAUCUUUGGGGUUUUUCAAGUAGCCAAGUAAAUUGUUGAGCUGUCUCUAAGGUUGAUGAGAUAUAACCUCAUUUAUAUAACCAAUAAAUUAUACAGUGGUUGACA